CUCAUUUGUUUGUUAUGCUAAUAUUGAAAUGUGUGGAGAGACCGUAAAGCUAAGUGCCACUUGCCUAUGUGUUAAUAUCAUGAUGUAAGACAUAGUGUACCUCUCUGACUGACCCUUCCCACAGAAAGGGCUGCCAGUAACAGGAGCAGGUGAGUACAGUUCACAGGGUACUGUCUUCCUUUGUUUGAAAACAACAGAUGAUUAUAAAAACCAAUGUUUGGGUGGCUUCCAGGUGAUGUCUGUUUUAUACAGGUUUGUCAGCAAGUGGAAAUGCAACCAUUAAAUCACUGCAAGAUGGGAAAGAAAUUGCUUACAAUUUAGUGCAGCCAGGUAGUGACAGGUGUUGUUAUGAAGAAGCAGGUCCCCGUCUGUCGUGGUCUACACUGCCGUCUCAUGGGGCUUCUAUUUCCCUUUUGGUUUGGUUGCAAGUGAAAGAGUUCAGUGGUUUCAUCAUUGAUUUGUCAUCUUUCUUUCUUAAUGUUUGACCACAUCUUCCUCCUUAAGUACUCUAUCUCAUGCUCAGGUUCUUUGCUCCCCCAAGUUCUGUCUGACUUUGAUUCUUCUGGAGUUGUGCGUGUCCCCUUGUCGUUUCUUUUAUUUGCUUUCUGUCUUAUUUUUAAAUCUCCAUUUUUAAGUAAUGUUGAAAAACAAAGCAACCUGGUAGUGCCUAGAAAGCUCAGGUUUUUUUCAUGUAUUUGGUCAUAGGAGUUGGAUAUAAUGUGUUUGCUCAUAGUAUUUGUUCAACAUUGUUAUUGGCUUACUCUACAGGUUGGCCCAGAAAAAUUACGUUAGUGGUGUGGGCGUUUUAAUUUAAAUGCAUGGCCACCAUUGAAUAAUGGAAGUUUUGCUGAGAGCAAUGGCACAGGCCUGCCAUCCCGGGUAUUUGGGAGGCUGAGACAGAACAAUCACUUGAGCCCAGGAUUUAACCAGGCUUGGUUGUGUGUACCAGUGACCCCAAAAUUCAGGAGGCUCAGGCAGUAAAUAUCAAAGUGUACUUAGAUUACAUAGGCAACUAGAGGUUAGUCUUAGCUACAGUAAUGAGACCAGCUCACAAACAAGUAAAAGAAAAAUGAGUUGGAGGCCAUCUUGUAGUGUUAUGAUCUGUGGGAGGAAAAGAAAGUUGGGAAGAUUUUCAUACUAACAUCUAAAUGACUUUUCUUGAAAAGCUGGAGAUCCUAGCAGUACUGGGCCCAGGUUGGUGAAAAUACUAAGUAGAGAAUAUGUCUUUUAUGCUUGUGGUUUGCAUGUGCAUAUGUGUAUAUUCCCCUCUAUGGAGGUCCAUGUGUAAAGAUGUGUGUGUGUGAGUGCCUAUGCCCUUCGUGCAUCUGUGUGUUAGGGCCUGAAGCAGUUGCCCACGUUCUUCUGGACCACUCCUCACUUUACAUAUUGAGACAUGCAGGGUCUCUUACUACAUGCAGGGUCCCUGUUGGAGGUCGGUCUCCCUAACCAGCCUGCUCCUGCCUCUGGCCCCACAGUGCUGUGAGUGUAAGUAAUCACUAUAUGCACUUGCCUUUUUACGCACCAGUGAGCCAAACCCUUGUCCUUAACACUUGCAUGGGCCAUCUUAUGUAUUUUGAGGAAGGGAGACUUGCAGUGGAGCACAUGUGAAAGUCAGAGGACAGCUUGUGGGAGUCGGCUCUCUCCUUACACCAGGUAAUUUCAGGGGUCAGACUCAGGUCAACUGGAUUAGAGCAAGUAUCUCUUCUGGCUGAGCCAUCUCACCAGACCCUUGUGUUUAUUGUUUUUGAGACAGGCCUCAUGCAGUCCAAGCUGAACUUGAACUUUCUGUACAGUUGAGGAUGACCUGAACUUCUGAUCCUCUUGCUUUUACUUCUCAAGUUCUGAUAGUCUAAGCAGAUGCUAUUAUAUCCGGUUGUGCUGGGUAUUGAAUCUAGGACCUCAUAACAUGCUGGGGAACACUUAUUUACAGAAUGAACCCCAAGAGGAAAUGUAAAUAUUGCUAUUUUGGUGACUUUUAUCUGUGCCUAAGAAUAAGAAGUCAAAGAGAGAUUCUGAUGUAAGUGCCACCCUUCCACAGAGUUUCACAAAUAGCCUGCCAUUGUUGGAGGGUGAAGUAAACUGCCACAGUGAUCCAUAAUAGGGGCCGAGUGAGUGAGGGCUCUUACAGAAGUCAUUGAACUCAGAGGUUUCUGAGAAAAAACGCCUUUAACAAUGUAACAACAUUCUUGGAGAUACCCAGAUGGCUCAUCCGUGUGGGUAUCCCUGCACCAAGCAGGGAUAAAAGGAGACAGUCAACUCUUGAAUGUCAUCCUCUGGCUGCCACAUGCAUCGUGGCAGGUACCUGCCUUCCCUCACAUAAGUGCUGUGUUGUUUUGUCUGUUCUGAUUUAGGCGCGAACUGGAGAGAUGGCUUAGUUGUUGGGGUGCUUAUUGUUCUUGCACUGUGGUUUCCCAGCACCCACAUGACAGCUUGUAACUAACUCCAAUUCCAGGGGAUCCAACGUGCUCCUGUAGACCUCCCUGGGCACUGAAACCACAUGGCAUACACCCAUUUACGUGAAUUUUUAGUUAAAAACAAAUAUUAAUAAAUGCAUUGGGGAGUGGAGGGCUGUGGAGAUGGCCCAGCAAUUCAGAGCACUUGCUCUUCUUGCCAGGGACCCAGGUUUGUUUCCAAGCACUGUCAUGGAAACUCACAAGUAUCUGCAACUCCAGUUUCAGAGAAUCUAAUAAUGGCCUCUCCUGACCUCUGAGGACACAAUGGGCAUACACAUGGUACACAUCCAUACAUUCAGUCAAAACACUUAUAUGCAUACUUUAUAUACAUAAAAUAAAUCUAAAAAAAAACUUAAAUGUAUUCCCCUUUUUUAAAAGAAUUAUUUAUCAUGUAUGUAGCUGUCUUCAGACACACCAGAAGAGGGCAUCAGAUCUUAUUACAGUUGGUUGUAAGCCACCAUCAGGACCUCUGGAAGAGCAGGCACAGUUUUUAACCACUGAGCCAUCUCUCCAGCCCAAUGUAUCCCUUUCUAAGAAUGUCAUUAACAAAACCGUAAAAUCCUAAAACACUUAUACAACAAUUAGACAGUUUAUAAUAAUGGUCUGUUUUCUUUUUCAACUAGAAAAUAAAAAAAAAUCUGUAUUUCUAAAGAAUUUUUAUACCCUUUUAAUACAAAAGAUUUUCUUGGCAAUAUAAUUUGCAUGCCAGCAUAUUGGAAUUUCUGACAUUUCAAUUUUGCAAUAUUUUUCUAAAACUGGAAAUAUAUAGUGGAAAUCUAUACAGAUACAUAUGGUGGAAUCAGAUACAUUAUAUUUUAAUAGCUAAUGUGAUUUAACUUGCAAAUUAAAUUCAUGUGUUCAUAUAUGAUAUUGCUAAGGAUUUAAGGUGUGAUUUAAAGGGAAAUAAUUAUUAUGUAAGUGAAACCCACCGUGGCGGAAAUGAGUAGAGGCAGAAACAAGUUGAAGUAAUGCUGAUUUCUGUGAGCAGCAGAGAGAACAUUGGGAAUGCUGUAAGAAUCAUAGCUGGGUGGUUACCAUAAUCUGUAGCAUUUUAAACACAGUUUCAGAUGGUCUGAGGGUAGUCCGGGGAGUGUCUUAGAUGUGUGGUAACUGUUGGCCUGAAUCAGUGUUGUAGGGAUGCCUGAUACUGUUGUGUUGCAAACCCACCACUCUCAGUCUGCAGUGCCUUUAUCGCGUGCCCCCGUGUCUGCAUGCUCGAGUCUUGGCAGGAAUUUAACCUGAGUUCUGCUGAAGCCCCUAUCAUGCUAAUAUAAUUGCAGUUUUUCAGUGAUUCCAGGCUUUUUUUUUUUUAUCUCAGAGGUUACUUGAACUUGAUUAUAAAUUCUACAUCAACCUGAUUUUUUUUUAAAUAGCUCAUUUGGAAUGAAAAAGGUAUAAUUUUAGAAAUAGCUUUCUAUCCAGUUUUCUAUGACAGAAUGAAUGUCUUUUGUAUGUAGUGCUUGGAACUGUAAAUAUUUUGAAGUCUUUUCAGAUUUAGGAGUAUGCAUGUACAUACCGAGAUACUCUGGAGAUGGAACUGAAGUCUAAAUGAAAUUCACUUAUAAUCUGUAUGUAUACAUAGUCUGAAGGUGAUUUUAUAUGCAAUAUUUUAAAUUAAUUUUCUGCAUAAGACCGUCUUGAAGUGUGGAUUUUUCUGCUUAUAGCAUCAUAUCAAUGUUCAGAAAGUUUCAGAUUGUAGAGCAUUUCGGAUUUGCAACUGAGAAAUGUUCAUCAGAUCUCUCUUCAGUCCAGCUUCAUAAACCAUGAACUAGAAAGAAGCAAGAGCUAUCUAUAGUGGGUUCAAUUGAGGUAGCAAUUGAUUUUUUUGUUUUGUUUGGUUUUUUUUGUUUGUUUGUUUGGUUGUUUUUUUUUUUUUUAAGCCACAAGCUAAAAAUAAUUUAUUGUGAGACUGGUGAACUAGUCAGUGCCAUUGACAGUUCGAUUGUAGACGUGGGCUUGUCUGACUUCUCAACACUUCGGACUCUUCCAGUAUCCUGGCCCUCUUGUCCUAAAAGAUGAAAAGAUGCAGCGAUUUCUUUCUUAUUGUUCUUCUUCCUCCUCCUUCCAGCCAUCCCCUCCCUCCUCUUUUAGUUUUUUUAAGACAGGAUCUCCCCUUGUACUCCUGGCUGUCCUCGAACUCACAUAGAUCUGCCUGCCUCUCUGUGCCUUCCGAGAGCUGAGAUGAAAAGUGUGUACCACACUCCCACCACCUCCUGGUGCAGUGGUCUUCUCUCAUAACAUGACCUCGGGGAGACUAAUUCUCUAGAGUCUUGGUUUGAGCAAUUUUCCCCCUUUAUUUUUACCUUGUCUAACAACUGCUGGGUUAUCUCCAGUCCCUGAAAUUAGUCUCUAUUUUAAAAGAAUUGGCAGAAGCAGGUUUUGAUUCUCUUUAAAUAUUAUUAUUCUAACUAGAAUGACUGUUUGUCCAGAAGACAGAAAAGUCCCUUGACUGUUGCUUAGAUUUUACUAACUCCGUGUCAUCCUCUAGUGUCCUAAGGAUGCUUUGUGACUGAAGAAGGAGCAGAUGCGGAACAUGAUUCAACAGUAGACUCAGAGUUUCCAGGCUUUGUGCUUUGGUCUGAUGAGCACAAUCCCUCUGAGGACAGUUUCUUCCUCUAGGCAAGUUUCCAUACAGAGAUAGAUACUUAAGCUUCUUAGUGGUGGCUUUUUAUGUCUUGAGUACAAAGAUAACUGAAGUUCAGUCAGAAGUAUCAAGUGUGGUUCUCUUUGUAAGAAUUCUUGUCAGCAUUACAAAUAAUCAAAAUAAUUAAGGAUUUCCUUUGAAACGUUUUCUUUCUUACUGCUUUUAGAAAAACCGUAUUUUCAAAAUAUAAAUUCUGAUUCACUCUUCUUACCAACCUUAUUCUUCAUUGUGGCAGGACUCAGUCCCCGCCCUGUCUUUGGCAGGCCUCCUAUCUCACCCUAGGAGCUGGUGUUACAGGUGUGCACUGCAUAAUCAUGACAAACCGUUUAAGAGGUAGAAUCUGCUGGAGAAUACCCCUUAGCAUAUAGGUGCUAAGUAGAAAGUGGGACAUACUGGAAUUAUCAUCUGAAUAACUGUGUUCAGUUUCUUGGUAUUUUUUGGUUUUGGUUUGGUUUGGUUUUUUCGCGUUUAGAGAUUAAACCCAGGGUCUUGUGCGUGCUGGGCAAGACCUCUACUGCUGAGCUACACUCCUGCUUUCUUCUUUUUAAUAUUUUCUUCUUCUGUAAUACAAAUUGAGCACAGGCUUUUGAAUAUUAUUAGCCUACUAGACAAAUGAUACAGCCUUGAGUUAUAUCCCCAGUUCCUUCUUUUUAAUAAAAUAGGUACCUGUUCUAGCAGCCAGCAAGUACCUUGAGGAGCUUAAUGGGGCAGGGAGGUGUUUUAUUCCUAUACAACAUGGUCCAUUUUCCACACACAUUGACAGGUUUAUCGGUAUGAUAUAAUCAGGAAACCAAAAAUAGGGGUUUGAUAUGUGAUACAGUAUAUUUAUUUUUUGUUUUUUGGUCUUGUUUUAAAAUUUGCAUUUUAAAAGUACUAAGUUUAGCUAUGCCUGCUAAAAGAAAUGAAUAGCUAUGAAGCAAACUAGUGGCCCUUACAGAAUAUCUUCCACUAAAGUGAAUUGUGUUUCCGUAUGUGUAGCAAUAUAAUGACAUUUGAUGUAUCUUUAACGUAUAGGUUACUAAGUUUUGAAAAUAGAAGGAUACACAAUUUGUGGUGAUUGGGUGAACUGGUGUUUCUUUAAGUCACUUAAUGCAAAAAAUGAAUGAAUGAAUGAAUGAAUGAAUGAAUGAAUGAAUGAGUAAAUGAACAAGUAAAUAAGUAGAGUCCCAAUCCUCUCCCCUUUAAAUGUAAAUAUCUUCAAAGUGAAUAAUUAAACAGAUUAUAGAGGCUUUUAGAAUAUUUAUUGUUUUGUGAGAAAUCGUUAAUUUGUACUUUGAAUUUGAAUUAUAAAGUAGCAUUGCUUAAGUGUGCCCUGGUUUGAGAUGGCAAGAUGACUCAAGGCAUAAAGUCACUUGCCACUAAGCCUGAUAUUCCGUACCAAGUUCUCAUGUGGUAUAAAAAGAAAGCCAAUUUCCGUAAGUUAUCCUUUGACCUCGAAGAUAAGGUGUAACACAUCCACACAGAAUAAAAUAUAAAAAAUAAACCCCCAACUGGGGGUGGUGAUGGCACAAGCCUUUAAUCCUAGCACUCAAGAAGCAGAGGACCUUUAUGAGUUCAAGGCCAGCUAAUCUACAGAGCAAGUUCCAGGAUGGCCAGGACUACACAGAGAAAUCCUACCUUGGAAAACAAACAACAAACAAACAAGCAAAAAUAAGCCCGGAUCUUCUUUCCAGUAAAGGAGAUGCAAAGAGGUGACCUCAUCCUUAGUGUCCGCAUCAGAAUGCUGUGUGUGCCUACGCAGGAGUGAGCUGUGCCAUAGAACAAUUCAUUGAAAUUCCUCAGUACCAACCCAGUGGUAUGGUUUGAUGUCCGGUAUUUUACCAGACACCUAUCUGGUUAUAACACUUUUUUCCUUUAAUGUAUUAGGCAAGACUUCAAAAGAAGCCACUUCUUUUGACUGGAGCACAGAUAAUUAAUAGAGAGCUCUGGUCACUAUCGAUCCUGAUUGAGACUGAAAGUAAACAAAGGAAGCCAGAAUAAUUAAGGAGGUGAAGAGAAAAAAAUGAAAGGAAAUAGAAAA